GGCCAUAGUGGGUGAUAGCCCUGUACGCGAAAAUCCCUUUGCAAUGAAAUCGAGUAGGACGGGGCACGAGAAACCUUGUCUGAAUAUGGGGGGACCAUCCUCCAAGGCUAAAUACUACUGACUGACCGAUAGUGAACCAGUACCGUGAGGGAAAGGCGAAAAGAACCGCGGAGAGCGGAGUGAAAUAGAUCCUGAAACCGUAUGCGUACAAGCAGUGGGAGCCCACUUUGUUGGGUGACUGCGUACCUUUUGUAUAAUGGGUCAGCGACUUAUUUUCAGUGGCGAGCUUAACCGAAUAGGGGAGGCGUAGCGAAAGCGAGUCUUAAUAGGGCGUCUAGUCGCUGGGAAUAGACCCGAAACCGGGCGAUCUAUCCAUGGGCAGGUUGAAGGUUGGGUAACACUAACUGGAGGACCGAACCGACUACCGUUGAAAAGUUAGCGGAUGACCUGUGGAUCGGAGUGAAAGGCUAAUCAAGCUCGGAGAUAGCUGGUUCUCCUCGAAAGCUAUUUAGGUAGCGCCUCAUGUAUCACUGUAGGGGGUAGAGCACUGUUUCGGCUAGGGGGUCAUCCCGACUUACCAAACCGAUGCAAACUCCGAAUACCUACAAGUGCCGAGCAUGGGAGACACACGGCGGGUGCUAACGUCCGUCGUGAAAAGGGAAACAACCCAGACCGUCAGCUAAGGUCCCAAAGUCAUGGUUAAGUGGGAAACGAUGUGGGAAGGCUUAGACAGCUAGGAGGUUGGCUUAGAAGCAGCCACCCUUUAAAGAAAGCGUAAUAGCUCACUAGUCGAGUCGGCCUGCGCGGAAGAUGUAACGGGGCUCAAACCAUGCACCGAAGCUACGGGUAUCAUCUUUUGAUGAUGCGGUAGAGGAGCGUUCUGUAAGCCUGUGAAGGUGAGUUGAGAAGCUUGCUGGAGGUAUCAGAAGUGCGAAUGCUGACAUGAGUAACGACAAUGGGUGUGAAAAACACCCACGCCGAAAGACCAAGGUUUCCUGCGCAACGUUAAUCGACGCAGGGUUAGUCGGUCCCUAAGGCGAGGCUGAAAAGCGUAGUCGAUGGAAAACAGGUUAAUAUUCCUGUACUUCUGGUUAUUGCGAUGGAGGGACGGAGAAGGCUAGGCCAGCCUGGCGUUGGUUGUCCAGGUUUAAGGUGGUAGGCUGAGAUCUUAGGUAAAUCCGGGAUCUUAAGGCCGAGAGCUGAUGACGAGUGUUCUUUUAGAACACGAAG
rnacentral:rRNA from 1 species